ncrna:unclassified sequences RAGATH-18 RNA
CCUAUAGAGAGUACAAAAAAAUGUGAGUAGUGUCUGACUUACUCAGCACAAAAACAUACUCGACGAAGUAGGAA